AUUGAACGCUGGCGGCAUGCCUUACACAUGCAAGUCGAACGGCAGCACGGGAGCAAUCCUGGUGGCGAGUGGCGAACGGGUGAGUAAUGUAUCGGAACGUACCUUUCAGUGGGGGAUAACGUAGCGAAAGUUACGCUAAUACCGCAUAUUCUGUGAGCAGGAAAGCAGGGGAUCGCAAGACCUUGCGCUGAUUGAGCGGCCGAUAUCAGAUUAGCUAGUUGGUGAGGUAAAGGCUCACCAAGGCGACGAUCUGUAGCGGGUCUGAGAGGAUGAUCCGCCACACUGGAACUGAGACACGGUCCAGACUCCUACGGGAGGCAGCAGUGGGGAAUUUUGGACAAUGGGCGCAAGCCUGAUCCAGCCAUGCCGCGUGAGUGAAGAAGGUCUUCGGGUUGUAAAGCUCUUUCAGCCGGGAAGAAAACGCAUGGGUUAAUACCCUGUGUGGAUGACGGUACCGGAAUAAGAAGCACCGGCUAACUACGU
rnacentral:rRNA from 1 species